rnacentral:rRNA from 1 species
GUACACGCUGUGACUAGCAUAUCAAUAAGCGGAGGAAAAGAAACUAACAAGGAUUCCCCUAGUAACGGCGAGUGAAGCGGGAAGAGCUCAAAUUUGAAAUCUUAAAGGGUUUCCCUUUACGAAUUGUAGUUUAAAGAAGUGUUUUCUGUUGAGGUUUUGGUAAAAGUUCUUUGGAAUAGGACAUCAUAGAGGGUGAGAAUCCCGUAUUUGACCUUUACUUUCAACUUUGUGAUACACUUUCAAAGAGUCGGAUUGUUUGGGAAUGCAGUCCAAAAUGGGUGGUAAAUUUCAUCUAAAGCUAAAUAUUGGCGAGAGACCGAUAGCGAACAAGUACCGUGAGGGAAAGAUGAAAAGAACUUUGAAAAGAGAGUUAAACAGUACGUGAAAUUGUCAAAAGGGAAGCGUUUGACACCAGUGUUGUUUUUCUGAAAAUCAAUUAAAGAACUGUUUAUGCUAAGUUGUUUAGACAUUUAUCAGCUAUCUGUUUAGUUUUGAGCUUUUCUUUAAUGCACUUUUCAGUUAACAAGUCAACAUCAAUUUCUUUUGCUGUAAAAAAGCUUGAGGAAGGUGGCUUGAGAUUCGUCUUAAGUGUUUAUAGCCUCUUGCCUAUGCAGUCGGAGAGAUUGAGGUCUGCAGCGUAGAUCCUUCGGGGCUAAAUGCAUUUGUGCUAAGUUAUAGCAUUUUAUAGACAACUUGUUGACUAUGAUUUGUCUUGUAGCUUACUCGCUUAUGUUAUUUUACCUACGCUUAGGAUGUUGAAGAUGUAGCACAUCAU